rnacentral:rRNA from 1 species
AUCUAUGGCCAUGCCACCCUGAACAAGCCUGAUCCCAUCUGAUCCUGGAAGCUAAGCAGGGUCGGGCCUGGUUAGUACUUGAAUGGGAGAACACCUAGGAAGACCAGGUGCUGUAGGUG